AUACUUACCUGGCAGGGGAGACACCAUGAUCAUGAAGGUGGUUUUCCCAGGGUGAGACUCAUCCAUUGCACUCCAGCUGUGCUGACCCUUGCGAUUUCCCCAAAUGUGGGAAACUCAGCUGCAUAUAUAU
rnacentral:snRNA from 1 species